rnacentral:rRNA from 1 species
AGAAGAAGCUCCGGCUAACUUCGUGCCAGCAGCCGCGGUAAUACGAAGGGGGCUAGCGUUGUUCGGAAUUACUGGGCGUAAAGCGCGCGUAGGCGGAUUGGAAAGUUGGGGGUGAAAUCCCAGGGCUCAACCCUGGAACUGCCUCCAAAACUAUCAGUCUAGAGUUCGAGAGAGGUGAGUGGAACUCCGAGUGUAGAGGUGAAAUUCGUAGAUAUUCGGAAGAACACCAGUGGCGAAGGCGGCUCACUGGCUCGAUACUGACGCUGAGGUGCGAAAGUGUGGGGAGCAAACAGGAUUAGAUACCCUGGUAGUCCACGCCGUAAACGAUGAGUGCUAAGUGUUAG